GAUGAACGCUGGCGGCGUGCCUAAUACAUGCAAGUCGAGCGAACGGACGAGAAGCUUGCUUCUCUGAUGUUAGCGGCGGACGGGUGAGUAACACGUGGAUAACCUACCUAUAAGACUGGGAUAACUUCGGGAAACCGGAGCUAAUACCGGAUAAUAUUUUGAACCGCAUGGUUCAAAAGUGAAAGACGGUCUUGCUGUCACUUAUAGAUGGAUCCGCGCUGCAUUAGCUAGUUGGUAAGGUAACGGCUUACCAAGGCAACGAUGCAUAGCCGACCUGAGAGGGUGAUCGGCCACCCUGGAACUGAGACACGGUCCAGACUCCUACGGGAGGCAGCAGUAGGGAAUCUUCCGCAAUGGGCGAAAGCCUGACGGAGCAACGCCGCGUGAGUGAUGAAGGUCUUCGGAUCGUAAAACUCUGUUAUUAGGGAAGAACAUAUGUGUAAGUAACUGUGCACAUCUUGACGGUACCUAAUCAGAAAGCCCCGGCUAACUACGUG
rnacentral:rRNA from 1 species